AACGAACGUUGGCGGCAGGCCUAACACAUGCAAGUCGAACGCCCUAGCAAUAGGGAGUGGCAGACGGGUGAGUAACACGUGGGAACCUUCCCUAUAGUACGGAAUAGCCCAGGGAAACUUGGAGUAAUACCGUAUACGCCCGAGAGGGGAAAGAUUUAUCGCUGUAGGAUGGGCCCGCGUCGGAUUAGCUAGUUGGUGAGGUAACGGCUCACCAAGGCAACGAUCCGUAGCUGGUUUGAGAGAAUGACCAGCCACACUGGGACUGAGACACGGCCCAGACUCCUACGGGAGGCAGCAGUGGGGAAUCUUGGACAAUGGGCGCAAGCCUGAUCCAGCCAUGCCGCGUGAGUGAUGAAGGCCCUAGGGUUGUAAAGCUCUUUUGUCGGGGACGAUAAUGACGGUACCCGAAGAAUAAGCUCCGGCUAACUUCGUGCCAGCCGCCGCAGUAA
rnacentral:rRNA from 1 species